UACGUAGGGUGCAAGCAUUAAUCGGAUUUAUUGGGCGUAAAGGGCGCGUAGGCGGAUUGGCCAGUCAACUGUGAAAUCCCCCAGCUCAACUGGGGAACGGCAGAUGAUACUACCAAUCUUGAGGGUAGGCGGAGAGAACGGAAUUCCACGUGUAGCGGUGAAAUGCGUAGAUAUGUGGAAGAACACCGGUGGCGAAAGCGGUUCUCUAGCUUACACCUGACGGCUGAGGCGCGAAAGCAAGGGGAGCAAACAGG
rnacentral:rRNA from 1 species